rnacentral:rRNA from 1 species
UACGGGGGGGGCUAGCGUUGUUCGGAAUUACUGGGCGUAAAGGGCGCGUAGGCGGUCUGCUAAGUUGGAUGUGAAAACUCUGGGCUUAACCCAGAGCCUGCAUUCAAUACUGACAGGCUAGAGUUCUGGAGGGGAUAGCGGAAUUCCUGGUGUAGCGGUGAAAUGCGUAGAUAUCAGGAGGAACACCCGUGGCGAAAGCGGCUCUCUGGGACGGUACUGACGCUGAGACGCGAAAGCGUGGGGAGCGAACAGG